rnacentral:rRNA from 1 species
GACGAACCGUACGAACGUUAUUCGGAAUCACUGGGCUUAAAGCGCGUGUAGGCGGAUGGGGACGUCGGUCGCUGAAAUCCCCCGGCUCAACCGGGGAACUGGCCCCGAAACGCCCCGUCUGGAGGAACGUAGGGGGACCUGGAACUUCCGGUGGAGCGGUGAAAUGCGUUGAGAUCGGAAGGAACGCCCGUGGCGAAAGCGAGGUCCUGGACGUUUUCUGACGCUGAGACGCGAAAGCUAGGGUAGCGAACGGG